AGCGGGGUAGGGUAGCCAGGAGUACCCGCUGGGCUCAUAACCCGGAGACCGCAGGUUCAAAUCCUGUCCCCGCUA
rnacentral:tRNA from 4 species